AUACGGAGGGUGCGAGCGUUGUCCGGAUUUAUUGGGUUUAAAGGGUGCGUAGGCUGGAAGGUCAGUCAGCGGUGAAAAGCUAUCGCUCAACGAUAGUCUUGCCGCAGAUACUUCCUUUCUUGGAUUAGGAGGAGGUCACCGGAACGGAUGGUGUAGCGGUGAAAUGCAUAGAUAUCAUCCAGAACGCCAAUUGCGAAGGCAGGUGACUGUACCUAUAUCGACGCUGAUGCACGAAAGCAUGGGGAGCGAACAGGAUUAGAUACCCUGGUAGUCCAUGCCGUAAACGAUGAGGACUAGCUGUUGGGGACUUUGUCUUCAGCGGCACAGGGAAACCGUUAAGUCCUCCACCUGGGGAGUACGCCGGCAACGGUGAA
rnacentral:rRNA from 1 species